CAGGGUCUGACGACUGCCCAAACCAAACCGUGAACUAUUCCGCGAACCAUAUGCUUCGGCGGGCCGCUCGCUGGGGGAGCUCCGGCCGCUUUGUCGGUGGACCGCCGAAAGCAUGCAAACCAAAACUUCUGAGAACUGCUCUGAGAAAAAUCUUUUCUAAAUGAAAUAAAUUA
rnacentral:misc_RNA from 1 species